rnacentral:rRNA from 1 species
UACGUAGGGUGCAAGCGUUAAUCGGAAUUACUGGGCGUAAAGCGUGCGCAGGCGGUUUUGUAAGUCUGUCGUGAAAGCCCCGGGCUCAACCUGGGAAUUGCGAUGGAGACUGCAAGGCUUGAAUCUGGCAGAGGUGGGUAGAAUUCCACGUGUAGCAGUGAAAUGCGUAGAGAUGUGGAGGAACACCGAUGGCGAAGGCAGCCCCCUGGGUCAAGAUUGACGCUCAUGCACGAAAGCGUGGGGAGCAAACAGG